CGGCUCAGUAACACGUGGACAACCUACCCUUGGGAUGGGGAUAAACCCGGGAAACUGGGUAUAAUACCCGAUAGUCCUCGACUGCUGGAAUGCAUCGAGGUCGAAAGCUCCGGUGCCCAAGGAUGGGUCUGCGGCCUAUCAGGUAGUAGUGGGUGUAGCGUACCUACUAGCCUACGACGGGUACGGGUUGUGAGAGCAAGAGCCCGGAGAUGGAUUCUGAGACACGAAUCCAGGCCCUACGGGGUGCAGCAGGCGCGAAAACUUUACAAUGCUGGAAACAGCGAUAAGGGAACCUCGAGUGCCAGGUUACAAAUCUGGCUGUCGUGAUGCCUAAAAAGCAUUGCAUAGCAAGGGCCGGGCAAGACCGGUACCGGCCGCCGCGGUAACACCGGCGGCUCGAGUGGUAACCGUUAUUAUUGGGUCUAAAGGGUCUGUAGCCGGCCGGAUAAGUCUCUUGGGAAAUCUGGCAGCUUAACUGUCAGGCUUUCAGGAGAUACUGUCUGGCUCGAGGCCGGGAGAGGUGAGAGGUACUUCAGGGGUAGGGGUGAAAUCUUGUAAUCCUUGAAGGACCACCAGUGGCGAAGGCGUCUCACCAGAACGGACCUGACGGCAAGGGACGAAAGCUAGGGGCACGAACCGGAUUAGAUACCCGGGUAGUC
rnacentral:rRNA from 1 species